CUGGUCUCCUCUGUAGUUGACUGGUCUGCUCUGUAGUUGAUUGGUCUCCUCUGUAGUUGAUUGGUCUCCUCUGUAGUUGAUUGGUCUCCUCUGUAGUUGACUGGUCUCCUCUGGUCUCCUCUGUAGUUGACUGGUCUCCUCUGUAGUUGACUGGUCUGCUCUGUAGUUGACUGGUCUCCUCUGUAGUUGAUUGGUCUCCUCUGUAGUUUACUGGUCUCCUCUGGUCUCUGUAGUUGACUGGUAUCCUCUGGUCUCUGUAGAUGACUGGUCUCCUCUGGUCUCUGUAGAUGACUGGUCUCCUCUGGUCUCCUCUGUAGUUUGCUGGUCUCCUCUGGUCUCUGUAGUUGACUGGUCUCCUCUGGUCUCUUCUGUAGUUGACUGGUCUCCUCUGUAGUUGAAUGGUCCCCUCUGGUAUCCUCUGUAGUUGACUGGUCUCCUCUGUAGUUGACUGGUCUCCUCUGUAGUUGAUUGGUCUCCUCUGUAGUUUACUGGUCUCCUCUGGUCUCUGUAGUUGACUGGUCUCCUCUGGUCUCUGUAGUUGACUGGUCUCCUCUGUAGUUGACUGGUCUCCUCUGUAGUUGACUGGUAUCCUCUGGUCUCUGUAGUUGACUGGUCUCCUCUGGUCUCCUCUGUAGUUGACUGGUCUCCUCUGGUCUCCUCUGUAGUUUGCUGGUCUCCUCUGGUCUCUGUAGUUGACUGGUCUCCUCUGGUCUCCUCUGUAGUUGACUGGUCUCCUCUGGUUUCCUCUGUAGUUUGCUAGUCUCCUCUGGUCUCUGUAGUUGACUGGUCUCCUCUGUAGUUGACUGGUCUCCUCUGUAGUUGACUGGUAUCCUCUGGUCUCUGUAGUUGACCGGUCUCCUCUGUAGUUGACUGGUCUCCUCUGUAGUUGACUGGUCUCCUCUGGUCUCUGUAGAUCACUGGUCUCCUCUGUAGUUGACUGGUCUCCUCUGUAGUUGACUGGUCUCCUCUGGUCUCUGUAGAUCACUGGUCUCCUCUGUAGUUGACUGGUCUCCUCUGUAGUUGACUGGUCUCCUCUGUAGUUGACUGGUCUCCUCUGUAGUUGACUGGUCUCCUCUGUAGUUGAUUGGUCUCCUCUGUAGUUUACUGGUCUCCUCUGGUCUCUGUAGUUGACUGGUAUCCUCUGGUCUCUGUAGAUGACUGGUCUCCUCUGGUCUCCUCUGUAGAUGACUGGUCUCCUCUGGUCUCCUCUGUAGUUUGCUGGUCUCCUCUGGUCUCUGUAGUUGACUGGUCUCCUCUGGUCUCUUCUGUAGUUGACCGGUCUCCUCUGUAGUUGACUGGUCUCCUCUGUAGUUGACUGGUCUCCUCUGUAGUUGACUGGUCUCCUCUGGUCUCCUCUGUAGUUGACUGGUCUCCUCUGUAGUUGACGGGUCUCCUCUGUAGUUGACUGGUCUCCUCUGUAGUUGACUGGUCUCCUCUGUAGUUGACUGGUCUCCUCUGUAGUUGACUGGUCUCCUCUGGUCUCCUCUGUAGUUGACUGGUCUCCUCUGGUCUCUUCUGUAGUUGACUGGUCUCCUCUGUAGUUGACUGGUCUCCUCUGUAGUUGACUGGUCUCCUCUGGUCUCCUCUGUAGUUGACGGGUCUCCUCUGUAGUUGACUGGUCUCCUCUGUAGUUGACUGGUCUCCUCUGUAGUUGAUUGGUCUCCUCUGUAGUUUACUGGUCUCCUCUGGUCUCUGUAGUUGACUGGUAUCCUCUGGUCUCUGUAGUUGACUGGUCUCCUCUGGUCUCCUCUGUAGUUGACUGGUCUCCUCUGGUCUCCUCUGUAGUUUGCUGGUCUCCUCUGGUCUCUGUAGUUGACUGGUCUCCUCUGGUCUCCUCUGUAGUUGACUGGUCUCCUCUGGUCUCCUCUGUAGUUUGCUGGUCUCCUCUGGUCUCUGUAGUUGACUGGUCUCCUCUGUAGUUGACUGGUCUCCUCUGUAGUUGACUGAUCUCCUCUGGUCUCCUCUGUAUUUUACUGGUCUCCUCUGUAGUUGACUGGUCUCCUCUGGUCUCUUCUGUAGUUGACUUGUCUCCUCUGUAGUUGACUGGUCUCCUCUGGUCUCCUCUAUAUUUGACUGGUCUCCUCUGAUCUCCACUGUAGUUGACUGGUCUCCUCUGGUCUCUGUAGUUGACUGGUCUCCUCUGGUGUCCUCUGUAGUUGACUGGUCUCCUCUGUAGUUUACUGGUCUCCUCUGUAGUUGACUGGUCUCCUCUGGUCUCUGUAGUUGACUGGUCUCCUCUGUAGGUGACUGGUCUCCUCUGUAGUUGACUGGUCUCCUCUGUUCUCCUCUGCAGUUGACUGGUCUCCUCUGUAGUUGACUGGUCUCCUCUGGUCUCUGUAGUUGACUGGUCUCCUCUGUAGUUGACUGGUCUCCUCUGUAGUUGACUGGUCUCCUCUGUAGUUGACUGGUCUCCUCUGGUCUCCUCUGUAGUUGAGUGGUCUCCUCUGGUCUCCUCUGUAGUGGACUGGUCUCCUCUGUAGUUGACUGGUCUUCUCUGGUCUCCUCUGUAGUUGACUGGUCUCCUCUGUAGUUGACUGGUCUCCUCUGGUCUCCUCUGUAGUUGACUGGUCUCCUCUGGUCUCCUCUGUAGUUGAGUGGUCUCCUCUGGUCUCCUCUGUAGUUGACUGGUCUUCUCUGGUCUCCUCUGUAGUUGACUGGUCUCCUCUGUAGUUGACUGGUCUCCUCUGGUCUCCUCUGUAGUUGACUGGUCUCCUCUGGUCUCCUCUGUAGUCGAGGGUCUCCUCUGGUCUCCUCUGUAGUUGACUGGUCUCCUCUGGUCUCCUCUGUAGUUGACUGGUCUCCUCUGGUCUCUGUAGUUGACUGGUCUCCUCUGUAGUUGACUGGUCUCCUCUGGUCUCCUCUGGUCUCUGUAGUUGACUGGUCUCCUCUGGUCUCCUCUGUAGUUCACUGGUCUCCUCUGGUCUCUGUAGUUGACUGGUCUCCUCUGUAGUUGACUGGUCUCCUCUGUAGUUGACUGGUCGCCUCUGUAGUUGAUUGGUCUCCUCUGCUCUCUGUAGUUGACUGGUCUCCUCUGGUCUCUGUAGUUCACUGGUCUCCUCUGGUCUCUGUAGUUGGCUGGUCUCCUCUGUAGUUGACUGGUCUCCUCUGGUCUCUGUAGUUGACUGGUCUCCUCUGUAGUUGACUGGUCUCCUCUGUAGUUGACUGGUCUCCUCUGGUCUCCUCUGUAGUUGAGUGGUCUCCUCUGGUCUCCUCUGUAGUUGACUGGUCUUCUCUGGUCUCCUCUGUAGUUGACUGGUCUCCUCUGGUCUCCUCUGUAGUUGACUGGUCUUCUCUGGUCUCCUCUGUAGUUGACUGGUCUCCUCUGUAGUUGACUGGUCUCCUCUGGUCUCCUCUGUAGUUGACUGGUCUCCCCUGGUCUCCUCUGUAGUUGAGUGGUCUCCUCUGGUCUCCUCUGUAGUUGACUGGUCUCCUCUGGUCUCCUCUGUAGUUGACUGGUCUCCUCUGGUCUCUGUAGUUGACUGGUCUCCUCUGUAGUUGACUGGUCUCCUCUGGUCUCCUCUGGUCUCUGUAGUUGACUGGUCUCCUCUGGUCUCCUCUGUAGUUCACUGGUCUCCUCUGGUCUCUGUAGUUGACUGGUCUCCUCUGUAGUUGACUGGUCUCCUCUGGUCUCCUCUGUAGUUGACUGGUCUCCUCUGUAGUUAACUGGUCUCCUCUGUAGUUGACUGGUCUCCUCUGGUCUCCUCUGUAGUUGACAGGUCUCCUCUGUAGUUGACUGGUCUUCUCUGGUCUCCUCUAUAGUUGACUGGUCUCUUCUGGUCUCUGUAGUUCACUGGUCUCCUCUGGUCUCUGUAGUUGGCUGGUCUCCUCUGUAGUUGACUGGUCUCCUCUGCUCUCUGUAGUUGACUGGUCUCCUCUGGUCUCUGUAGUUCACUGGUCUCCUCUGGUCUCUGUAGUUGGCUGGUCUCCUCUGUAGUUGACUGGUCUCCUCUGGUCUCUGUAGUUGACUGGUCUCCUCUGGUCUC
ensembl:lncRNA